rnacentral:rRNA from 1 species
UACGUAGGGUGCGAGCGUUGCCCGGAUUUAUUGGGCGUAAAGGGCGCGUAGGCGGCUCUGCACGUCCGUUGUGAAAUCGCCCGGCUCAACUGGGCGGGGUCAGCGGAUACGGCGGAGCUUGAGCAAGCUAGGGGGCAAUGGAAUUCCCGGUGUAGUGGUGGAAUGCGUAGAUAUCAGGAGGAACACCGGUGGCGAAGGCGGGUCUCUGGGCCGUUACUGACGCUGAGGAGCGAAAGCGUGGGGAGCGAACAGG